GACGGAGGGUGCUAGCGUUGUUCGGAAUCACUGGGCGUAAAGGGCGCGUAGGCGGCCUCAGGUGUCGGAUGUGAAAGCCCGGGGCUCAACCCCGGAGGUGCAUCCGAAACUCUGGGGCUGGAGGUCGGAAGAGGAGGGUGGAAUACCCAGUGUAGAGGUGAAAUUCGUAGAUAUUGGGUGGAACACCGGUGGCGAAAGCGGCUCUCUGGUCCGGAGCCUGACGCUGAGGCGCGAAAGCGUGGGGAGCAAACAGG
rnacentral:rRNA from 1 species